rnacentral:lncRNA from 1 species
AUGAGCAGAAGAUGGCCAGUGACUUAUCUUCUAGAGAAAAAUGACAGAAAUGAGUAUUUGGAAUUAUUCCUGGAAUUAGACCAGCAUGAGGUCCCCUCUGCCAAUCUAAGGUAAAACUGCUGA